UUCGCGUCAUUUUUAUUCGUUAGAAGAUGCUCUAUUUAGUGGUAAAUGUAACUAUGUCGAAUGUUAGAUAUUUUGGCUUUAUUUAUGUGGUUACGUUUAAAGUAGCGUGAUUGAUUUUAUGGUUGUGUAAUGCUUACUUUAUUAUAUUAAUUAAAGUGAUUAACUUUUUUCUGCUCUGUAAAUCGAAGGUUAGUAUAAGGGUUGGAUCUGUAGCUCUCUGAUCUAUCCCAAUAUUUUCUCAGAGAGCUGCAGCCAGACCCUGACAUGAUCCAGUUUAAAUAAUUCCCUUUUACACACAUGUGUAACCUUAUAUAAAACCUGCAGACAUUUGAAAACUUCCAAUAUCUUGCAAUAAAAUAGCUUGAUGCAAAUGUGUGCAUGGCCAAGCUAUUUCCCGACACUCUUUUUGUCCUAUAACUGCUCAGUAGAAUCCCUUUCAUCAAUGUUCUCCAUUCGUCUUAAUUGUUCCUUUUCACCCACUAGAUCUAUUCGUAAUCAGUGUUGGGAUACCGUUAGAAACUUGUUUGAUGUACGUCUUUGCUAUGACAGCUCACGGAAUACGAGGUGUACCUAGUUCUGUUCGGCGGCCUCUACAGAAGACAGAGUAUGUCUACUGUCGUUUGUUGAACUCUGCAGGCUAGUCCGCGCUUUUGCCUCUCACUACAACAAGACACUUGCUUAAAUGGGAGUGAAGGUCAGCUGCUACAACUACGUGUCCACUUCCUUUUCCAUUCGAAUGUACACAUAGUUUAAUUGGCUCAACUAGAAGUUAAACUUUUGUAACUGUUUUCUUUUCUUUGUUCUGUUUUUUGUUUUUGUUUUUGUUUUGUUGUUGUUGUUUUUUUGUUUUUUGUUUUUUGGUUUGUUUUUUUUUUUUGUGUUCUACGAUACAUGUAAUAUACUUUACUUCAAUUCUUUGCGGUAUUGUCAUAAUCUCCUAAGGGGGAGGGGGUGAAACUAUAUCAACAAUUUUAAAGUGUUUAGCUUAAUUAUACCAGUAUCUGCUACUCAAACUUUAUCUACGCAGAUUUGAGUAUAUAAUGAUAUUGAUCCUCAAUUUCGUUACAUUUACAAAGAUUACAUAAUGCCUUAUUCAAUAGCUAAUUAGUGGUUCUGAUUUUACUAAUGAUUUACAAAAAUUCUGUUUACACUCAAAUUUCGUCUUGAAUACUCUAUAUAUUGCACCUUUUGAAGAUCCGGUUAAAAAAAGUCGAUAUUUGUAUACAUGUAUACCGAUCCCUUGGUCUUGAAUUGUCACUGUCAUUCAUAACUUGUUCACAUGACAAAGAUUCUGUACUUUCAAAAUUAAUUAAAAAGCACUAGAGUCAAGAAUGACGUAAAUACAAGAUCGUCCAAUCAUUAUCCAGGUUACAGCGAUUGUAGAGGUUCUGUUUAAUUUAAUUUCAUUGCCUAACAAGAUUAAAUACGUACACAUGUACUAGUAUAUACAAUGGAAAUCGCCCGCCUUCUCGAUGAACUAUUCAAGAUUAGGAGUGCUACUAUGUUCUAAAUAACGUAGUUGGAUAUCAGUUUUUAAAGCCCCCAUAUUUUACAAGCAUAGAGUUACGCACACAAACAA